GAUGAACGCUAGCGGCAGGCCUAAUACAUGCAAGGUCGAACGGGAUUGAGAAGCUUGCUUUUCAUGAGAGUGGCGCACGGGUGCGUAACACGUACGUAACCUACCUUAAUCUGGGGGGAUAGCCUCUCGAAAAGAGAGAUUAACACCGCAUAACAUUAUCGGAUAGCAUUUUCUGAUAAUCAAAUAUUUAUAGGAUUAAG
rnacentral:rRNA from 1 species